AGAGUUUUACAGUCCCACAAUCCUGUGUUACUGUUAAUCUCUUUGGAACCUUCAAGUAGUUUGCUGUAAGCAGUUCAGCUUGCCAGCUUUUGGCAGAUAAUUAUUUUGUUCUUUUCCAAAUUGAACACAUUCAGUUCAGUCUUCCCAUUCAGAACAACAAAUUCU